rnacentral:sRNA from 1 species
CGCAGACGGCCCGCCCCCGGAUGCGUCCGAGGGCGGUGCCGCCGGCCACACGCCCAUUCUUGUCUAUCUACCUGGUUGCCUCGGCGGGCCGCGCACUCGUGCCGCCCGGGGAUGUUUAUCUCCCUGGACCGCGCCCGCCGGAGGAGCGAUUAAAACCCAUGAAUACUGUUCAGUCUGAGCGUAAGCAAGUGAAAUCAGUUAAAACUUUCAACAACGGAUCUCUUGGUUCCGGCAUCGAUGAAGAACGCAGCGAAAUGCGAUAAGUAAUGUGAAUUGCAGAAUUCCGUGAAUCAUCGAAUCUUUGAACGCACAUUGCGCCCUCUGGUAUUCCGGGGGGCAUGCCUGUUCGAGCGUCAUUUCAACCCCUCAAGCCCGGCUUGUGUGAUGGACGACCGUCCCGCCCUCCCCGAUCCCGGGGAGGGGGACGCGCCCGAAAAGCAGUGGCCAGGCCGCGAUUCCGGCUCCUGGGCGAAUGGGCAACAAACCUACGCCUCUAGGACCGGCCGGCUCUCUGGCCUAGUU